CCACGCUGGUGCGCGGACAGCACGCGGUGCUGCUGGUGUUGCCCGGGGGGCGGGGGAAGAUCCUCCGCUUCCGGCAGGGG
rnacentral:tRNA from 1 species